CAGUCGCCGCGGGAAUACGAAGGGGGCUAGCGUUGUUCGGAAUCACUGGGCGUAAAGGGUGCGUAGGCGGAUUUUUAAGUCAGGGGUGAAAUCCCGAGGCUCAACCUCGGAACUGCCUUUGAUACUGGGGAUCUUGAGUCCGGAAGAGGUGAGUGGAACUGCGAGUGUAGAGGUGAAAUUCGUAGAUAUUCGCAAGAACACCGGUGGCGAAGGCGGCUCACUGGUCCGGAACUGACGCUGAGGCACGACAGCGUGGGGAGCAAACAGGAUUAGAUACCCCAGUAGUCCCUGUCUCUUAUAC
rnacentral:rRNA from 1 species